rnacentral:rRNA from 1 species
AUUGAACGCUGGCGGCAGGCCUAACACAUGCAAGUCGAACGAGUGGCGGACGGGUGAGUAAUGUCUGGGAAACUGCCUGAUGGAGGGGGAUCACUACUGGAAACGGUAGCUAAUACCGCAUACCAUCGGAUGUGCCCAGCUGGGAUUAGCUAGUAGGUGGGGUAAAGGCUAACCUAGGCGACGAGCCCUAGCUGGUCUGAGAGGCUGGGCAGCAACACGGGAACUGAGACACGGUCCAGACUCCUACGGGAGGCAGCAGUGGGGAAUAUUGGACAAUGGGCGAAAGCCUGAUGCAGCAAAGCCGCGUGUAGGAAGAAGGCCUUCGGGUUGUAAAGUACUUGCAGCGGGGAGGCGUUACCCGCAGAAGAAGCACCGGCUAACUCCGUGCCAGCCGCGGCGGUAAUUC